AGGUCCACUAGCGAAGGUUCGCAAGCGACGUUAACCUUUCAUCACCAAAGCUUUUCCUAUAUCUCCACCUCAGCAGCUCAAGGUCGACACAUUUUUCAGGAUUAUUGUCCAAAGAGGCUUCUUCCGAGUAAUUUGAAGAGGAGAAUUGUACUCAUUCAGGUGUAGAUAUGACUUCAUACCUAACAGGAACAGAAAUCCUUAAAGAAGAGGAAGACUUGGGGACGUUUCAUCCAAAGCAGAUGCAAUGUGAUAGACCUGAUGCGGGCAAUGAGCUAUGCACAUUGGCAGAAGAAACUUCGGGGAAAAAUGAAGACUGUACUGAUCCUAAGGGUACUAAAGAGAUCUUCUAUGAGGACCUAGAAAAGUCUCUUCCUAAAAAAUUGAAAAUUGGUCCACUAAAGGAAGAGGGAUAUGAAUUGACGGACGAAGCUCUUGAGGAUAACAUGGACUGUACUCAACUCGACAAUUCACCUGAACCAUGCAGCGAGAGCACCAUGACAAAGCUUGCGACCAAACUGCUUUUAUUGGCAAGUUUUGGAUUCGUGGUAUUUAUCCUGUACUUCAAAAGUUACCAUCGUGGUUAGAGACUUUAAAGUUCUAGGCUUUGUUAUGCUGUAUUCUAACCCAUGUCAAGUUUUGUAGUAAUUUUUUAACAGCGACAUGCUUACGGAUAAAAUGUUACUCCCUUCUCUUAGGAGUGUGGGGACGUUGAAAGGGAUUGUGAUCAACUUAAUGAGGGCUUUCAAAGCGAAUCAUGGCAUGUCCGUGUUCAGAGUACCUUUCGCUGGUUGU
rnacentral:misc_RNA from 1 species